ensembl:lncRNA
GGUUGACUCAAAUACAGGCACUCUACUGCCAUACUAGAAAGAAUUGAGAAAAUAUAUUUUAAAAUGCAAGACAACACUUCCAAUACCCUGAGACAUUUUCCUGACAUGUUACAUUGUGGCCUGAUUGAUGAAACCUGAAACACUCCUUUGUCAGGCCUGCUUAAACAUGCAUCCACACACACACCUAAAUACAAUUAAGUCUUUUGUAAACACAAGAUUUACUCUCCCUCAUAUUAAACAGACCCAGAAGACAGCAUGACAUUACCUUCAAAGAACAAGAUCAGUUUUACUCUGACAAUCUGAUUCAUGGUCAGGUAUAUCCAUUUGUCUUACACAUGUGCUUAUUAAAGCUGGGUAAAUGUCAUCUGACUCAUGUGAAGUCGUUUCGCUUUCUUUGAUAAUUAAGACCUGGUUUAUGGAUGGGUGGGGUUAACCGUACAUUCAUGUCUUUGAUGGAUAUUACUCCAUGAAGAGGACCUCAGCAAAGCAAAAGCAAUCUGUCAGACAAUCUUUUCCCGGGACCCUGGCCGGCACCUUGGCACAGGUCUCAAUGCAACCUCUAGUACUGACCAUCUGUCAACACUAUCCAGCAGCCAUAUCACCCUGCUGCCCAAGACUGGUUGCCCAUUGAAGCUAAGCAGGGUUGAGCCUGGUCAGUACCUGGAUGCGAGACCUCCUGGUAAAACUAGGUUGUUCCUGUAAGAGGUGUUAGUAAGGCCAGCAGGGGGUGCUCACCCUGUGGUCUGUGUGGGUCCUAACACCCCAGUGUAGUGACGGGUACACUAUACUGACAAAUAGCAAUGUCUUUCGGAUGAGACGUUAAACUGAUGUCCUGACUCUCUGUGGUCAUUAAAAAUCCCAGGAUGUCCUUUGAAAAAGAGUAGGGGUGUAACCCCGGUGUCCUGGCCAAAUUCGCCCACUGGCCUCUUAACCAUCCCCAUAUCUGCUGAUUGGCUUCAUCACUCUGUCUCCUCUCCACCAAUAAGCGGGUGUGUGGUGGUUCUUCUGGCGUGAUAUGGCU